ACUAGUCACCCCACUCCCUCUCUCUUUACACACUCUAAACUUUCUCCCUUCUCUCUAAAAAUAAAGUCACCGCCUCCCCUUUUUCGGCGAACCCACGAUGGUGACACCCCUCCUCGAGUUUUAUGCCACUGUCCUCCUCCUCUGGCAAACCCUUGUUGCCGUUGCCGCCAUACAACAGCCAUGCGACGGGUAGGCGUGCAACCACCAGCCUCCGCCAUCGGUCAUCCCCAAACGUCGAUCAGUCCGCCUCUUCCCCUUUGUCUAACCGGUGACUCCCAUUGGAGAAAAACAACGCCAAGACCAGCGCUGGUAGCCAGCCAUUGAAGAACAUCUAUGGCCGCCGUCCACUCCCCCCCAAACGCUGCCAGUCGCCGCCACUACCCGUUUCAGAAGAUGAUGGGUCUGAAAAACCCAUCCACAGGUGGCGACUCCUUCAAACGCAUCCCAAGAGUAGUCAUGUUGAACCCGCUUUUUGCGAGAAAAAUUGGAGCGCGACAGCUACACAUUAAGAUUACAAGGAUGUAUGUUUAUUCCCUUAGUCAAACAAAAA